rnacentral:tRNA from 2 species
UGCUUCUUAGUUUAAUGGAUAUGACGCCGGACUACGAAUCCGGAGAUAAAGGUUCAAUUCCUUUAGGAGCAA